AUCAUGUUAAUAUAGGUUACACUACAGACAUCAUGUUAAUAUAGGUUACACUACAGACAUCAUGUUAAUAUAGGUUACACUACAGACAUCAUGUUAAUAUAGGUUACAGACAUCAUGUUAAUAUAGGUUACACUACAGACAUCAUGUUAAUAUAGGUUACAGACAUCAUGUUAAUAUAGGUUACAGUACAGACAUCAUGUUAAUAUAGGUUACACUACAGACAUCAUGUUAAUAUAGGUUACACUACAGACAUCAUGUUAAUAUAGGUUACAGACAUCAUGUCAAUAUAGGUUACACUACAGACAUCAUGUUAAUAUAGGUUACACUACAGACAUCAUGUUAAUAUAGGAUACACUACCGACAUCAUGUUAAUAUAGGUUACACUACAGACAUCAUGUUAAUAUAGGUUACACUACAGACAUCAUGUUAAUAUAGGUUACAGACAUCAUGUUAAUAUAGGUUACACUACAGACAUCAUGUUAAUAUAGGUUACACUACAGAAAUGAUUUGAGGUAGUGCUGAUUGAGCUGUACAUUGUGUUAACAUUACUGUAGAACCUAUUGCAUUUUUCAAAGUCAGCCAGCCAACCACUCAGCCAGCUAGCCAUUCAGCCAUCCGGCCAGUCAGUCAGUCAGCCAGUCAAUCAGCCAUCCAGUCAGCCAGUCAGUCAGUCAGUCAACCAGUCAGUCAGCCAGUCAAUCAGCCAUCCAGUCAGCAAGUCAGCCAUCCAGUCAGCCAGUCAGCCAUCCAGUCAGCCAGUCAGCCAGCCAGGUCAGUCAGUCAGUCAGUCAGCCAUCCAGUCAGCCAGCCAGUCAGUCAGUCAGUCAGUCAGCCAUCCAGUCAGCCAGUCAACCAGUCAGCCAGCCAACCAGUCAGCCAGCUAGCCAUUCAGCCAUCCGGUCAGUCAGUCAGCCAGUCAAUC
rnacentral:lncRNA from 1 species